rnacentral:rRNA from 1 species
AGGUCAAGCUACAACGGGCUCACGGUGGAUACCUAGGCACGCAGAGGCGAAGAAGGACGUGGUUACCGACGAUACGCUUCGGGGAGCUGGAAGCAAGCUUUGAUCCGAAGGUUUCCGAAUGGGGCAACCCUAAGUACGGCCAUCUGAAUCCAUAGGAUGGCACGAGCGAACGCAGCGAACUGAAACAUCUUAGUAGCUGUAGGAAGAGAAAGAAAGAUCGAUUUCCGUAGUAGCGGCGAGCGAAGUGGAAAGAGCCUAAACCAGUGGUGUUUACCGCUGGGGUUGUGGGACAGCGAGAUGGUAUCUAGCGACUAGACGAAGCAUUUGAAUGAUGCACCAGAGGAGGUGAAAGUCCUGUAGUCGACAGUUUAAGGAACCUAGCUGCAUCCCGAGUAGCACGGGGCACGAGAAAUCCCGUGUGAAUCCGCGAGGACCACCUCGUAAGGCUAAAUACUCCUGCGUGACCGAUAGUGAACCAGUACCGCGAGGGAACGGUGAAAAGAACCCCGGGAGGGGAGUGAAAGAGAACAUGAAACCGUGAGCCUACAAGCAGUUAGAGCCCGAUUAAACGGGUGAUAGCGUGCCUGUUGAAGAAUGAGCCGGCGACUUACAGGUACUGGCAGGUUAAGACGGAAUUGUCGAAGCCAAAGGGAAACCGAGUCUGAAGAGGGCGAGUUGUCAGUAUUUGUAGACCCGAACCCGGGUGAUCUAACCAUGUCCAGGCUGAAGCUUGGGUGACACCAAGUGGAGGGCCGAACCGACCUCCGUUGAAAAGGAGGCGGAUGAGGUGUGGUUAGGGGUGAAAUGCCAAUCGAACCCGGAGCUAGCUGGUUCUCCUCGAAAUGUGUUGAGGCACAGCGGUCAUGGUUAUAGCUGGGGGGUAAAGCACUGAUUCGGUGCGGGCUGCGAG